UAUUCCUGGGAUUUCACAGAAAUCUCGGAGAGAGGGUGACAUUUUUCUACGAUUUUACAAAGGAUAUCCAUAUCAACCUUGUCUAGCUCUUAAAGGAAAGAAGAUCCCUGAGGACAUCUGAGUUGCAUAUAUGGGGAAACCAAGGCCCAGAGAAGUUUCCAGACCUGUCCAAACAGCUAAUAUUUGCUAGAGCCUGGACUGAGCACAGUCUCUUGCCAUGGCUUAGCAAUGUUCCCUCCACCUGACUCAGGUAGGCUUCCCUCUGAGUCUCAAAGACUCAUUUCCCUGGACGCUCCUAUUCUUAUAAGCCCCUUGCUUGUCCUUGGGGCUGCCUGGGGCCUCUGCAUAGACCCAGAAGGAGGAGCUUGUGUAGGAACAGACAGUCAGGCUCCAACUCUUUAGGAGACUGGGAACCUAGGUGUCUGAAAGGGAGGCAUAAGAUGCAGGGCCCAACAAGAAAAACAGAUCAGCGGGGCAGGGUCAGUGGAAUAAGCAGCGACCAAGAAAGGACAAAUGGAUAAAGAAAGCGGAUUGAUAUUUAUAAUGUACUUCCUAUUACCAAGUAUUUUGCAUAUAUUAUUUUAUUCAGUCUUCAUAAAAAUUUUAAUUUCAGGGAAUGAAAGGGAAGAGGAGGAAAAGAAGUGUCCAUCAGCAGGAGCCAUGUUUUGAAGGGCUUUGAAUUUGGCUACAUGAAUGAGUGAAUGAAUGAAUGGAGUUUAUACGUGUAUUACUUUGUUGCUGUAACAAAGAACCAUGAACUGAGGCCCUUCAGCAGCAGAAAUUUCUUGUUUUACAGUUCUGGAGGCUAGAAGUCCUAGAUCAAGGUGUCAGCAGGGUCCAUUCCUUCUGAAGGCUGUAAGAAUUUGUUCCAUGCCUCUCUCUCCUAGCAUCUGGUGGUUUUCAGGCCAAUCUUAAUAUUCCCUGACUUAUAAAUGCAUAACCCCAACCUCUGCCUUUAGCUUCUAGUGGCAUUCUCUCCAUGUGUGUGUUUGUGUCUGUGCCCCAAAUUCACCUUUUUAUAAGGACACAAUUAUGCUGGAUUAGGGCCCACCCUACCCCAGUAUGACCUCAUCUUUAAUUACAUUUGCUCUGACCUUGUUUUCAAGUAGGGUCACAUUCUGAGAUACUGGAGGUUAAGACUUCAACAUCUGAAUUGGGGCAGGGGGACACAGUUCAACCCAUAACAGCCGCUAAGUGGAACCCUGAGAAAAGCUGGGUCCAGCAAAAUUAAACAGAUUAAUUUAGGGCCUCUGUGGCGCUUUUACAACCUUACUGAAAAACCUCUUGCACUCCUCCCAUUGAGAGCUGCGGCCUCUGUCCCAUCCCCCGAGACAGAUAGAGGAUGGUGGGAAUGAAGCUAUGUGACAUCCAAGGUGGACCAUAAAAGGCCAUACCGCUUCCAUCUCUUUCACUGGAAUGCUGGACUGCAUCUAAGAAGUGUGAGUACCCUGGGGCCAGCCCUCUGAGAGGCACAUAGAUCCUCUCUGGUUGAGUUCCCAGCAGAGCCCAGCCUUCAAGUUAUCUUGCUGAGGUGCCAGACAGGUUAAGUGAAAAAGCUCUCUGGCAGCAGUACCCUCCAGCUGCAGCUGGGAGAGGCUUCUGAGUUAAAGUCCCAGACAUUGUGGAGGAAGGACAGGCAGUCCUGGCUGUGCCCUGCCUAGAUCCCAAGCCACAGAAUUAGUGAGCAGAAAAAAAUGGUUCUUGUUUCAAGCCACUAAGUUAAGGGUUUGUAUUAAUCAGCAUCCUCAAGAUAAACAAAACCAAUAUCAAUGUCUAUCUCUCAAGUCCAAAGGCAGCAGUAGGCAGAAUUCCCUCUUCCUUACAGGACAUCUGGGGCUUCCCUGGUGGCUCAGAUGGUAAAGAAUCUGCCUGCAGUGUAGAA
ensembl:lncRNA